rnacentral:rRNA from 1 species
GAGUUUGAUCCUGGCUCAGGAUGAACGCUGGCGGCGUGCCUAACACAUGCAAGUCGAGCGAGAAGGCUUUGACGGAAUCUUCGGAUGACGGAUGAGCUGGAGAGCGGCGGACGGGUGAGUAACGCGUGGGUAACCUGCCCUAUGGAGGGGGAUAACUAAGAGAAAUCUUAGCUAAUACCGCAUAAGCGCACAGUAUCGCAUGAUACAGUGUGAAAAACUCCGGUGCCAUAGGAUGGACCCGCGUCAGAUUAGCUAGUUGGUGAGAUAAAAGCUCACCAAGGCGACGAUCUGUAGCCGACCUGAGAGGGUGAUCGGCCACAUUGGGACUGAGACACGGCCCAAACUCCUACGGGAGGCAGCAGUGGGGGAUAUUGCACAAUGGGCGAAAGCCUGAUGCAGCAACGCCGCGUGAAGGAAGACGGUUUUCGGAUUGUAAACUUCUAUCAGCAGGGAAGAAAAUGACGGUACCUGACUAAGAAGCCCCGGCUAACUACGUGCCAGCAGCCGCGGUAA